ensembl:snRNA U6 U6 spliceosomal RNA
GUGUUGCUCCGUUGGGCACCACAUAUCCUAAAAUUGAAAUGAUUCAGAGAUUAACACAGUCCCUGAGCAGGGAUGACACAUAUUCAUGCAGUGAUCCAUGUUUUU